GUCAGGAUGGAGGGACGCCUCUACGGACUGCGGAUAAAUGUGGAAUGAUGUGGAAAGUCUUGAAGCACUGUCCUUGAAAGACAAUGAAGAAUGAACACAAAUCUUUUCUGAUUGUCAAGCAGUGGAUUGCCGAGGAAUAUUCCGUUUCUGACUUUGAGUGUAGCUGCAGCUUUGCUUCCUUUAGCGCUCUCCAGGAGGAAAAGGGCAUCCUUGCGCCGCUGCUGUGUGAUCCAAACUCCGUGCUCGCCUUGUAACAACUGGCCAUCAAUGAGAGCGUUUGAGCAGAGGGAACCGUGUGACCAUCGCACACUGUGAAGGAUAGCAGUGUUCUUGUUUGUUGACUGCUGUGUUGAAAUCCUCUAGAGAGCCAUUAAAAUCCUGAGGACAGACUCUAUUAGGGUUGCAU
ensembl:lncRNA